GGCAGAGCGGCAGCUACCAUGCAAGUCGAGCGGUAACAGGGGUAGCUUGCUACCCGCUGACGAGCGGCGGACGGGUGAGUAAUGCAUAGGAAUCUGCCCGAUAGUGGGGGAUAACCUGGGGAAACCCAGGCUAAUACCGCAUACGUCCUACGGGAGAAAGGGGGCUCCGGCUCCCGCUAUUGGAUGAGCCUAUGUCGGAUUAGCUAGUUGGUGAGGUAAAGGCUCACCAAGGCGACGAUCCGUAGCUGGUCUGAGAGGAUGAUCAGCCACAUCGGGACUGAGACACGGCCCGAACUCCUACGGGAGGCAGCAGUGGGGAAUAUUGGACAAUGGGCGAAAGCCUGAUCCAGCCAUGCCGCGUGUGUGAAGAAGGCCCUCGGGUUGUAAAGCACUUUCAGCGAGGAAGAACGCCUAGUGGUUAAUACCCAUUAGGAAAGACAUCACUCGCAGAAGAAGCACCGGCUAACUCCGUGCCAGCAGCCGCGGUAAUACGGAGGGUGCAAGCGUUAAUCGGAAUUACUGGGCGUAAAGCGCGCGUAGGUGGCUUGAUAAGCCGGUUGUGAAAGCCCCGGGCUCAACCUGGGAACGGCAUCCGGAACUGUCAAGCUAGAGUGCAGGAGAGGAAGGUAGAAUUCCCGGUGUAGCGGUGAAAUGCGUAGAGAUCGGGAGGAAUACCAGUGGCGAAGGCGGCCUUCUGGACUGACACUGACACUGAGGUGCGAAAGCGUGGGUAGCAAACAGGAUUAGAUACCCUGGUAGUCCACGCCGUAAACGAUGUCGACCAGCCGUUGGGUGCCUAGCGCACUUUGUGGCGAAGUUAACGCGAUAAGUCGACCGCCUGGGGAGUACGGCCGCAAGGUUAAAACUCAAAUGAAUUGACGGGGGCCCGCACAAGCGGUGGAGCAUGUGGUUUAAUUCGAUGCAACGCGAAGAACCUUACCUACUCUUGACAUCCUGCGAACUUGUGAGAGAUCACUUGGGUGCCCUUCGGGAACGCAGAGACAGGUGCUGCAUGGCUGUCGUCAGCUCGUGUUGUGAAAUGUUGGGUAAGUCCCGUACGAGCGCAACCUGUCUUAUUUGCAGCGCGUAAUGCGGACUCUAGAGACUGCGGUGACAACGAAGAGUGGGACGACGUCAGUCAUCAUGCCUACGAGAUAGGGGCUACACACCACCGGUG
rnacentral:rRNA from 1 species